GACGAACGCUGGCGGCGUGCUUAACACAUGCAAGUCGAGCGGAAAGGCGCUGCUUUUGUGGGGUGCUCGUGAGGCGAGGGGGUGAGUAACACGUGUGUAACCUGUCCUUGUCUUUGUGAGAACUUCAGGAAACUGGGGCGAAUACCGGGUAUGAUCUCCUGCUGCAUGGUGUGGGUUGGAGAGUGUCGGCGGUUGGGGAUGGUCUCGCGGCUUAUCAGCUUCUUGGUGGGGUAGGUGCUUACCAAGCCUUUGACGGGUAGCCGGCCUGAGAGCGUGAACGGGGACAUUGCGACUGAGAUACGCAGCAGACGCGUACGGGCGGCAGCAGUGGGAAAUAUUACAGAAUGGGCGGAAGCGAGUGACAGCAGCGUCGCGUGCGUGAUGACGGGUUUCGGGUUGUAAACAGAUGUCGAAUGUGACGAAGCGUGCGUGACGGUAAUGGGUAAAGAAGCCACGGCUAACUACGUG
rnacentral:rRNA from 1 species